rnacentral:lncRNA from 1 species
AUGGAGCCCCCUCCCUGCCCACUGUCCCUCCAUAGGUGGGGGGACGACUGUGGGACUGCUAUGGACCACAGCUCCCCAGCUGUGACCAUCCAACCAAACAAACCCCAUCUCUCUCCCAUUUUGCAGUUUGGGGCCAUGCAAAGGCCCUGCACAACUGCAGCCUGGCAACUUGAGUUGCCCUUCCUUUGUCCACCGAUGCCAUCACUGAAGGCCACCAGGUGGGUCAGGCACAUCUGCCCUUGGCAAACUUGGCAAUCAGCGAAGCCCCCUCCCCAGUUCUUUAUGAUCCUUGGCUUGAUGCUGCAGGAUCUGAGCCCCCUGGCAAUGUGGGGCUCACCAUCACAUCGUGCCAUCACAGUGUGGGGCUCACUAUUGCAAUGCAGGGCUCACCAUCACAGUGUGGGGCUCACCAUUGCAGUAUGGGGCUCACCAUUGCAGUAUGGGGCUCACCAUUGCAGUAUGGGGCUCACCAUCACAGUGUGGGGCUCAUCAUCACAAUAUGGGGCUCAUCACUGCAAUGCAGGGCUCACCAUUGCAAUAUGGGGCUCACCAUCACAGUGCAGGGCUCACCAUCACAAUGUGGGACUCAUCAUUGCAGUAUGGGGUUCACCAUUGCAAUAUGGGGCUCACCAUCACAGUGCAGGGCUCACCAUCACAAUAUGGGGCUCACCAUUGCAGUAUGGGGUUCACUACUGCAAUAUGGGGCUCACCAUUGCAAUGCAGGGCUCCCCAUCACAGUGCAGGGCUCACCAUCACAAUAUGGGGCUCACCAUUGCAGUAUGGGGUUCACUACAGCAAUAUGGGGCUCACCAUCACAGUGCAGGGCUCACCAUCACAGUGCAGGGCUCACCAUCACAAUAUGGGGCUCACCAUUGCAGUAUGGGGUUCACCACUGCAAUAUGGGGCUCACCAUUGCAAUGCAGGGCUCACCAUCACAGCACAGGCUCAGUAUCACAGCGCAGGGCUCACCAUCAUAUUGCAAGGCUCACCAUCACAGUGCAGACCCCACCAUUGCAAUGUGGGGCUCAAUUUUUGACUUGCAAUGCCCCAGGGAUCCCCACAACAAUGCACUCCCUCUUCUCUGCUUUCCUUUGCUGGAAGAAACCAUGCCCAGAGCAGCAGAGCCCUAUGGGCAGAGGCAGCAGUGCUCCAGUGAACAGAGAAACACUGCUGGAUCCCUGCAUGGCAAAAACAAGCAGAGAGGAGCAGGGCUGGUGUGUGCACAGGAAGCCUUCCUCAAUUUCGGCUGUCUGUCUUGAAAAAUCAGUGCAUUUACUGAUUAAAAAUAAAACCUCACACGUCAUGGCUCCAGCAAUGAAGGCUGGGCUGUUGUGCUAUUUAUUUUUAAAGAGAACAAUAUAG